rnacentral:rRNA from 1 species
GAGGUUCGAAGGCGAUCAGAUACCGCCCUAGUUCUAACCAUAAACGAUGCCAGCCAGCGAUCCGGCUGUGUUCCUCAAAUGACACGCCGGGCAGCUUCCGGGAAACCAAAGCUUUUGGGUUCCGGGGGAAGUAUGGUUGCAAAGCUUAAACUUAAAGGAAUUGACGGAAGGGCACCACAAGCCAUGGAGCAUGCGGUUCAAUUUGACUCAACACGGGAAAACUUACCUGGCCCGGACACAGGAAGGAUUGACAGAUUAAGAGCUCUUUCUUGAUUCUGUGAGUGGUGGUGCAUGGCCGUUCUUAGUUGGUGGAGUGAUUUGUCUGCUUAAUUGCGUUAACGAACGAGACUCUAGCCUACUAAAUAGGCGUUCCGAUCCUCUUAGUCGGACGCUCUUCUUAGGGGGACAGGCGGCGACUAGCCGCACGAGACAGAGCAAUAACAGGUCUGUGAUGCCCUCAGAUGUCCAGGGCCACACGCGCGCUACAUUGAAGGAAUCAGCGUGUGCUUUCCCUGUCCGACAGGACUGGGUAACCCGUUGAACCUCCUUCGUGCUGGGGAUAGGGGCUUGCAAUUGUUCCCCUUGAACGAGGAAUGCCUAGUAAGCACGAGUCAUAAAUUCGUGUUGAUUAGGUCCCUGCCCUUUGUACACACCGCCCGUCGCUAUAAGCGAUUGAAUGGUUUAGUGAGGUCUUCGGACUGGCGCUCGAAUUGGCCUUCCGGUCGAGUCGACGUGCCGGAAAGAUGACCAAACUUGAUCAUUUAGAGCAUAUAAAAGUCGU